rnacentral:rRNA from 1 species
GACGAACGCUGGCGGCGUGCCUAAUACAUGCAAGUCGACCUUAGUGGCGAACGGGUGAGUAACACGUGGGUAACCUGCCCAUCAGAAGGGGAUAACACUUGGAAACAGGUGCUCAUACCGUAUACUGAUGGAUGGCACCGCGGUGCAUUAGCUCGUUAGUGAGGUAACGGCUCAACAAGGCCACGAUGCAUAGCCGACCUGAGAGGGUGAGCGGCAACAUUGGGACUAAGAGACGGCCCAAACUCCUACGGGAGGCAGCAGUAGGGAAUCGUCGGCAAUGGACGAAAGUCUGACCGAGCAACGCCGCGUGAGUGAAGAAGGUUGUCGGAUCGUAAAACUCUGUUGUUAGAGAAGCGGUAUCUAACCAGAAAGCCACGGCUAACUACGUGCCAGCAGCCGCGGUAAUUC